GACAGUGUGGUGUAGUGGUUUGAGCGUUGGGUUACGGCUCUAGAGACCAGAGUUCAAAUCCCUGCUUGGCCU